CCGGUUCCGGUUCACGCCCGAGCCUCUCGCGGACGGCGGGGAGCGACGACGGCGACCCGGCGACC
rfam:Micromonospora sp. CB01531 scaffold2, whole genome shotgun sequence.